GGAACUUUAGCGCAGUGGUAGCGCGUUGGUCUUCGAUAUCCAUCAACCAAAGGUCGUCGGUUCGACCCCGGCAAGUUUCA